GAUGAACGCUGGCGGCGUGCCUAAUACAUGCAAGUCGAGCGAACAGAUGAGGAGCUUGCUCCUCUGACGUUAGCGGCGGACGGGUGAGUAACACGUGGAUAACCUACCUAUAAGACUGGGAUAACUUCGGGAAACCGGAGCUAAUACCGGAUAAUAUAUUGAACCGCAUGGUUCAAUAGUGAAAGACGGUUUUGCUGUCACUUAUAGAUGGAUCCGCGCCGCAUUAGCUAGUUGGUAAGGUAACGGCUUACCAAGGCAACGAUGCGUAGCCGACCUGAGAGGGUGAUCGCCCACACUGGAACUGAGACACGGUCCAGGCUCCUACGGGAGGCAGCAGUAGGGAAUCUUCCGCAAUGGGCGAAAGCCUGACGGAGCAACGCCGCGUGAGUUAUGAAGGUCUUCGGAUCGUAAAACUCUGUUAUUAGGUAAGAACAAAUGUGUAAGUAACUAUGCACGUCUUGACGGUACCUAAUCAGAAAGCCACGGCUAACUACGUG
rnacentral:rRNA from 1 species